GGAAUCUUCCACAGUGGACGCAAGUCUGAUGGAGCAACGCCGCGUGAGUGAAGAAGGUCCUCGGAUCGUAAAACUCUGUUGUUAGAGAAGAACACGAGUGAGAGUAACUGUUCAUUCGAUGACGGUAUCUAACCAGCAAGUCACGGCUAACUACGUGCCAG
rnacentral:rRNA from 1 species